AUUGAACGCUGGCGGCAGGCCUAACACAUGCAAGUCGAACGAGUGGCGGACGGGUGAGUAAUGUCUGGGAAACUGCCUGAUGGAGGGGGAUAACUACUGGAAACGGUAGCUAAUACCGCAUACCCUCAGAUGUGCCCAGAUGGGAUUAGCUAGUUGGUGGGGUAACGGCUCACCAAGGCGACGACCCCUAGCUGGUCUGAGAGGAUGACCAGCCACACUGGAACUGAGAAACGGGCCAGCAUCCUACGGGAGGCAGCAGUGGGGAAUAGUGGGAAAUGGGCGCAAGUCUGAUGCAGCCAUGCCGGGUGUAUGAAGAAGGCCUUCGGGUUGUAAAGUACUGUAAGCGGGGAGGCGUUACCCGCAGAAGAAGCACCGGCUAACUCCGUGCCAGCCGCCGCGGUAAUAC
rnacentral:rRNA from 1 species